GCGUACGGGUGCGUAACACGUAAGUAAUCUACCUUUGGGUUCGGAAUAACUUCGGGAAAUCGGAGCUAAUACCGGAUAAUGCAGCGGCACCGCAUGGUGAUGUUGUUAAAGUUUGUGUAAUGCCUAAAGAUGAACUUGCGUCUGAUUAGCUAGUUGGUGAGGUAAUGGCUCACCAAGGCUGCGAUCAGUAGCUGGUCUGAGAGGAUGAUCAGCCACACUGGAACUGAGACACGGUCCAGACUCCUACGGGAGGCAGCAGUGAGGAAUAUUGGGCAAUGCCCGAAAGGGUGACCCAGCAACGCCGCGUGGAGGAUGAAGGUCGUAAGAUUGUAAACUCCUGUUAGAGGGGAAGAAUAACUAAGUUUGGAGCUUAGUAUGACUGUACCCUCAGAGAAAGCCCCGGCUAACUACGUGCCAG
rnacentral:rRNA from 1 species